rnacentral:rRNA from 1 species
GACGAACGCUGGCGGCGUGCCUAAUACAUGCAAGUCGAACGCAGUGGGGACGGGUGAGUAACACGUGGGUAACCUCCCAACAGAGGGGAUAACACUUGGAAAUAGCUGCUAAACCGAAACUGAUGGAUGAACCCGCGGUGCAUUAGGUAGGUGGUGAGGUAAGGGCUAACGAAGGCCACGAUGCAUAGCCGACCUGAGAGGGUGAUCGGCCACACUGGAAAUGAGACACGGCCCAGACUCCUACGGUAGGCAGCAGUAGGGAAUCUUCGGCAAUGGGCGAAAGUCUGACCGAGCAACGCCGCGUGAGUGAAGAAGGUUUUCGGAUCGUAAAACUCUGUUGUUAGAGAAGCGGUAUCUAACCAGAAAGCCACGGCUAACUACGUGCCAGCAGCCGCGGUAAUUC